rnacentral:rRNA from 1 species
UACAGAGGUCUCAAGCGUUGUUCGGAUUCGUUGGGCGUAAAGGGUGUGUAGGUGGCGCUGUAAGUCGGGUGUGAAAUCUCGGGGCUUAACUCCGAAACUGCAUUCGAUACUGCGGUGCUUGAGGACUGGAGAGGAGACUGGAAUUCAUGGUGUAGCAGUGAAAUGCGUAGAGAUCAUGAGGAAGACCAGUGGCGAAGGCGGGUCUCUGGACAGUUCCUGACACUGAGACACGAAGGCCAGGGGAGCAAACGGG